rnacentral:rRNA from 1 species
GGCGGCAUGCCUAACACAUGCAAGUCGAACGAGACCUUCGGGUCUAGUGGCGCACGGGUGCGUAACGCGUGGGAAUCUGCCCAAAGGUUCGGAAUAACUCAGGGAAACUUGAGCUAAUACCGGAUGAUGUCGCAAGACCAAAGAUUUAUUGCCUUUGGAUGAGCCCGCGUAGGAUUAGCUUGUUGGUGAGGUAAAGGCUCACCAAGGCUACGAUCCUUAGCUGGUCUGAGAGGAUGAUCAGCCACACUGGGGCUGAGACACGGCCCAGACUCCUACGGGAGGCAGCAGUGGGGAAUAUUGGACAAUGGGCGAAAGCCUGAUCCAGCAAUGCCGCGUGAGUGAUGAAGGCCCUAGGGUUGUAAAGCUCUUUUACCCGGGAAGAUAAUGACUGUACCGGGAGAAUAAGCCCCGGCUAACUCCGUGCCAGCAGCCGCGGUAAUACGGAGGGGGCUAGCGUUGUUCGGAAUUACUGGGCGUAAAGCGCACGUAGGCGGCUU